rnacentral:tRNA from 1 species
GGUGGUAUAGCUCAGUGGUAGAGUGCAUGCCUAGCAUGCACAAGAUCCUGGGGUCGAUUCCCAGUACCUCCA